CUGUACUGUAAGGUGAACAACUCCAAAUAAGGGACCCCAGAGGCCGUGCCCUGGCACCCCCUGCAAAGUCCACAACUAGUUCUGCACGAAGCCCAGUCUAGCCUGCUGGAGGAUGAAAGACCAUAUGGAGAAGGACCAGGGUGCCGUGGCCACCAGCCAGCACACACUGCCGGAUGUGAGAAGCCAUCUUGGACCUCCCAGUCCUUUUGAACUCAGAUGGUUGCAGCCACUGGAGUAGUCCCAGGACAACUCUUCCCUUAGGAAAUUCCUUGCAUGCACUUAUGGGAAUAAAGAUUGUGUGGUUCUUAAGCCAGCAAAGAUUGUAAAGGAUCCUCCAGAUGAAGUUCCGUAUUGUCACUAGAUGAAACACUGGCAGGCAUUCUCUUUAGCAUGAGAACAGGCGGAUUGGGGAUGGCUCAAGUGAAAGAGACUCAAAAAAUGGAGUUCCAUGAAGACCACUGAUCUAGGACCAGAUGAACACAGAAAGCUCUCCGGAAAGC